UCGAAACCUGCCCAGCAGAACGACCCGCGAACGCGUUUAUCAACCGAGGGGUCGCCGUCGGAUUCGUCCGGCGUCGGUCUCUCAUCGGGCCCCGUAACAAAACCCCGGCGCAGAACGCGCCAAGGAAUCGAUAACGAAAAGAUCGCACGCCCCGAGCGCCCCGGAGACGGUGUGUGCGAGGGAGCGUUGCGCUUUGAGAACCAAAACGACUCUCGGCAACGGAUAUCUCGGCUCUCGCAUCGAUGAAGAACGCAGCGAAAUGCGAUACUUGGUGUGAAUUGCAGGAUCCCGCGAACCAUCGAGUUUUUGAACGCAAGUUGCGCCCGAAGCCUUUCGGCCGAGGGCACGUCUGCCUGGGUGUCACUCAAUCGUCGCUCCCAACGCAUUCCGAGGGAUGCGAACGGGACGGAAGAUGGCUUCCCGUGGACGUGAGUCCGUGGUUGGCCCAAAUGCCCGGUCCUCGGCAUCCACGCCACGACAAUCGGUGGUUGCGAGACCCUCGCCAUUCGUCGUGUGCCUCGGAUGUUUGUGCGGACCGACCGGACCCCGAAGCGUGCCUUAGGGCGUGCUCGCUUUGCGACCCCAG
rnacentral:rRNA from 1 species